GACGAACGCUGGCGGCGUGCUUAACACAUGCAAGUCGAACGAAGAGCGAUGGAAGCUUGCUUCUUUCAAUUUUCGUGGCGCACGGGUGUGUAACGCGUAAUCAACCUGCCCUUCAGAGGGGGACAACAGUUGGAAACGACUGCUAAUACCGCAUACGAUCUAACCUCGGCAUCGAGGAUAGAUGAAAGGUGGCCUCUACAUGUAAGCUAGCACUGAAGGAGGGGAUUGCGCUGGAUAAGCUAGUUGGAGGGGUAAGGGCCCACAAAGGUAAGGAUCGGUAGCGGGCGUGAGAGGGUGACGGCCAACCUGGGAACGGAGACAGGGCCAGGACUCCUACGGAGGGAGCCAGGGGGAAUUUUUCGAAAAUGGGGGAAGGCCUGCGGCGGCAAGCCCGGGUGGGGGAGGAGGGCCUCCGGUUUGUAAACCCUUUUUAUUGGGAAAGAAGAGCUGCUUGCGAAUAGUUAGAAGUUUUGACGGUACCGAAAGAGAAAGCCACGGCUAACUACGUG
rnacentral:rRNA from 1 species